rnacentral:rRNA from 1 species
GACGAACGCUGGCAGCGUGCUUAACACAUGCAAGUCGAACGAUGAAGCCGGAGCUUGCUCUGGUGAAUUAGUGGCGAACGGGUGAGUAACACGUGAGUAACCUGCCCUUGACUCUGGGAUAACUGCGGGAAACUGUAGCUAAUACCGGAUACGACCCUCGGAGGCAUCUCCUGGGGGUGGAAAGAAUUUCGGUCAAGGAUGGACUCGCGGCCUAUCAGCUAGUUGGUGAGGUAACGGCUCACCAAGGCGACGACGGGUAGCCGGCCUGAGAGGGUGACCGGCCACACUGGGACUGAGACACGGCCCAGACUCCUACGGGAGGCAGCAGUGGGGAAUAUUGCACAAUGGGCGCAAGCCUGAUGCAGCAACGCCGCGCGAGGGAUGACGGCCUUCGGGUUGUAAACCUCUUUUAGCAGGGAAGAAGCGAAAGUGACGGUACCUGCAGAAAAAGCACCGGCUAACUACGUGCCAGCAGCCGCAGUAA